rnacentral:lncRNA from 1 species
CAGAGGCGAUUUCCUUCUUGCAGACUUUAGGUGCCACUGCAGGGUCCGGAAAAGAAAGAGAAACGGCCCAGCGCGGUCGCUCCCAUAACCCAGGGCGGGGCUGCGCUCCGGCCCCGAAAACUUUUUUUUUUUUUUCGACAGAGUUUUCCUUCCUGUUGCUCAGGCUGGAGUGCAAUGGCGCGAUCUCGGCUCACCGCAACCUCCGUCUCCUAGGUUUAAGCGAUUCUCCUGCCUCAGCCUCCCUACUAGCUUGGAUUACAGGCAUUCACCACCAUGCCCGGUUAAUUUUUUAUUUUUAGUAGAGACGGGGUUUCCCCAUGUUGGUCAGGCUGGUCUCGAGCUCCCGACCUCAGGUGAUCCGCCGGCCUCGGCCUCCCAGAGUGCUGGGAUUACAGGCGAGAGCCACAGCGCCCGGCCUUGCCCGCAAGCGUUUUGAAUUCUGCGGCCCGGAGUUCACUGCGAGGAAUGGGAUCACCCGUCACCCCGCCCUAGUCUACGGAAAAUGAAACGUGUUUACUGAUAUAGAAACGGAAUAACGGCGCUGGGGAGGGCAGAGCUGCCUUCAGGCUUCUGGUCUCCAGCUGCGGGUCACUCACACCUGCCGCUGUGAAAUGCAGACCCGCAGGGCAGGAAUUCCGAGUCCGGGCUGGAGCGCGAUCUGGAAUCUGACUCGCUUGAAACAGCACCGCGGUGGAUUCGGAGCCGGGAGCUGGGACAAUUAUAUUCAUCAGAACAGCACAGUGUCAAGGCCCUCACCCCCAGAAAGCUUACGGGACACUGUUUUAUGGAGGAGAGUGAGAUUGGAGGAACCCUUGACUCCAAGUCUCCUGAUCCUUCUUACACAAAGAGAUGCUGAAAAAAAGUGCAGGACACUCCAUUUCCUCCUGGAACCAGACAGGGAAGCCAGAGUCAGCGUGGAUGUCAAAUUCCAGCAAGGAAACACCAGUAUAGCAAAAUCUUCACGUCACAUUUUAAAGCUCACACAAUGGCUCAAAGAGAACCAACAUCAAAAAGCCGAAUUCCUAGCUCAGGUGAGGUCACCGAGGCUGCCUGUGAGGGUUCGUGGAACUGCGGGUAGAAAGGGCAGCUUUACUGAGAGCUGCAGCCCAGUCGCUCCUGCAUCUUGGGGCCCCUUGAAAGGACCCGCUCCCUUCAACAGCACGUUGUGAGGCCAUUUCCGGGGAGAAACGUAGACUCUCCUUGGACUCCUGAGGUUUUUACACUUACUUGCUGACUCUGUGGACUUUGACUUCAUCAUUAAACAUCUUAUAAUGAUG